AUUGAACGCUGGCGGCAGGCUUAACACAUGCAAGUCGAACGGCAGCAUGGAUAUGGGUAACCAUAUUUGAUGGCGAGUGGCGGACGGGUGAGUAAUAUGUAGGAAUCUACCUAGAGGAGGGGGAUAACUUGGGGAAACCCAAGCUAAUACCACAUAAGCCCUACGGGGGAAAGCAGGGGACCGCAAGGCCUUGCGCCUUAUGAUGAGCCUACAUCGGAUUAGCUAGUUGGUGGGGUAAAGGCCUACCAAGGCGACGAUCCGUAGCUGGUCUGAGCAGAUGACCAGCCACACUGGGACUGAGACACGGCCCAGACUCCUACGGGAGGCAGCAGUGGGGAAUAUUGGACAAUGGGCGAAAGACUGAUCCAGCAAUGCCGCGUGUGUGAAGAAGGCCUUAGGGUUGUAAAGCACUUUCAGUGGGGAGGAAGGGGUUGAUGCUAAUAUCAUCAGUCAUUGACGUUACCCACAGAAGAAGCACCGGCUAACUCUGUGCCAGCCGCCGCAGUAA
rnacentral:rRNA from 1 species